GACAGCGUGUCCGAGUGGUUAAGGAGGUGAAUUAGAAAUUCACUGGGCUCUGCCCGCGCAGGUUCGAAUCUUGCCGCUGUCG
rnacentral:tRNA from 1 species